AGAGAGCGACGGGCGAUGUGUACACACUUCAGAGCUUAUUUCAUAUAAACAUUUUAUUUUUAAUUUACUACUAAAUCCACCUUAAUAACAACUAUACAAUUGUCAGGCCGUAAUAAUUUAAUUUUAUUGUAACCCACUACUCCCAUACUUAUUGGCUGCACCUUGACCUGAUGUCACAGUAAUAAACUAAUUAGAUAAUAUUCUUUAAAAAUAAUCUGACAACGGCGGUAUACAAACUGAAAACAAAAAUAUGUAAAUUUAAUCGUGGAAUAUCGAUACAAGAGCAGGUUCCUCUAGUAAGAAUGAAGUACCGCCAAAUUCUUUAGGUUUAAAGAUAUCAUUACUACCCAGGCAAUCAACAAUAAAGAAUAAUAGGGUAUCUAAUCCUAGUUUAAAACUUUAUUUCAAAAGAUAUAAAAAUUUUUGUAAUCAUUACAAAAUAUAUUUAAAGAUUUCACCCUUAAAUAUAUAAUCAAAAAAUUAUUUAAAAAUGAAUUUUUACUCAAUUCCACCAAACAAUUUUAUUCGACCCCAUCGUAUAACC
rnacentral:rRNA from 1 species